AAAUUGAAGAGUUUGAUCAUGGCUCAGAUUGAACGCUGGCGGCAGGCCUAACACAUGCAAGUCGAACGGUAACAGGAAGCAGCUUGCUGCUUCGCUGACGAGUGGCGGACGGGUGAGUAAUGUCUGGGAAACU
rnacentral:rRNA from 2 species